rnacentral:rRNA from 1 species
CUACGGGAUGCUGCAGGCGCGAAACCUUUACAAUGCACGAAAGUGUGAUAAGGGAACCCAGAGUGCUUAGUUUAACUAGGCUUUUGCCAAGAGUAAAUAUCUUGGAGAAUAAGUGGUGGGUAAGACUGGUGCCAGCCGCCGCGGUAAUACCGGCGCCACGAGUGGGAACUAUAAUUAUUGGGCCUAAAGCGUCCGUAGCCUGUUUGAUAAAUUUCUUGUGAAACUGUUAGGCUUAACUUAACAACGUGCAGGAAAGACUGUCAAACUCGGGACUGGGAGGGGUUAGAAGUAUCUUUGGGGUAGCGGUAAAAUGCUAUAAUCCUAAAGGGACUACCUGUGGCGAAAGCGUCUAACCAGAACAGGUCCGACGGUGAGGGUCGAAAGCUAGGGGAGCAAAACGGAUUAGAUACCCUCGUAGUC